rnacentral:tRNA from 1 species
AUUCUUUUAGUAUAAAUUAAUACAGCUGACUUCCAAUUAGCUAAUCUCGGUUAAACUCCAAGGAAGAAUA